rnacentral:tRNA from 1 species
GCCGCGGUCGCUUAGCCCGGUAUAGCGCUGGAUUGCUAGAUACUGUAUAACUAGUGUCUUAGAAACCUACUAUACCAUGCAGACAUCCAGUGUCCGCAAGGACUCGGGAGUUCAAAUCUCCCCCGCGGCG